UUUUCUUCCUAUUCUUCUCGCGGUCUGUGGUGUGCUUGGGGUCCCGGCAUGGCUAGUGGCGGCCACGCGGCUUCCCGCGCCCGAGCGCCGGGCUUCGGAGGAAUAAGGGCGACUGCCCUGAGCCUGAUGAGGCGCCUGCGAUGGCUGGGCCACGAUUAAGAGUCCGGGACUCAAAUGCGCACGGCAGCGGCCUAACCUUAAGGGCCACAUCCUCCGAGGAUCUGAGUGAGGGCCUGAGGCCGACUUCGGCCUGUAUUCCCUUCCCGGGAAAUGGGACAUUAACUAGAUUUGCUUUUAUUGAUCGCCGAUUGUACGCCAGGGAGUCUUGGGCGUAAGUACAAAUCUCUUUUGCGUGACCCGGGAAGGCCCCACGAUGUAAAUGGCUUUGUGCCUGCCCGAGCUCACUGUGAAGUGGGUCGAGUGCCCUUUGAAAUGCAGAUCACUACACGUGUCCUCUGGCGCAGAGGUUGGCCGAAACUGAAUGAGUAUCACCAACUUUGUAGGUGAAAAAUGGAUGCCUGAAGUGGACUACUGAUCUCUGAACACUUGAGCACAAAGGUGACUUAAGGACAUCCUUGGUACGGAUUUUGGAAGUUUGGUCUUCAAAAGUUGCUUGAUCAUUUUAAAAAUUUCCAGGAGUCUGAGGAGUAUUGAAAUAAUUGGGUCUGUGGCUCAGCGGUAGCACACGUACCUGGCAUGUUUGGGUUUGAUUCUCAACACAGCAUAUAAGUAAAUAAAAUAAAUUUCUAUUGACAAUUUUUUUAAUAUUAAAAAACAAUCAGUGCUAUCAUGGCCACUGAUGGUCUUAUGAUAGCUUCUGGCAAGCCGAAGGGAAAUAAAUACUUUUCUUCCCAUGAA